ensembl:processed_transcript Gm26788 predicted gene, 26788
GAUUUUCCUUCUGGCUUCCAACUCGACCUUCUGCUUUUCCUUCAGCUGCUUCUCGGCCACCUGCUUCUGGAAGGCCAGGUCCCGCUCCAUCUGCUUCACCAGUCGCAGGAGCUCCUCCUCGUGGUCCCGCUUUCGUUGCAGUUCUUCCACCAGGGCCCGUUUCUGCUGUUCCAGAUCACUGAGGCUCGAGUCUUUCCUCCGCAGAUGAUCUUCCAGCGUCUGCCUGGUGAAGGUGUUUUCCUGCAGCUGGCUCCGGAAGUUGCGGAGGUUCUCCUCCACCGCGGCUCGCCGAGCUUCCGCCUCCGACGUGAGCUGCCUCACCCGCUCCAGCUCCCUCUCGGCCGCUUCCUUCUCCCUCACGAUCGUCUCCAGCUCACGGCGGUACUGCUUGGCCUCGCUCUCGGCCCUCAGCUUCUGCAGGGCGAUGUCUUCCACGUUCCUCUGUUGUUUCCUCAGUUCAUUUUCGGCGGCCUCCUUAACUUUCGGAAGCUCCUCCUCGACCCGGGAUUUCUGUUUCUUUAGCUCAGCCACCAUUGUUUCCAGUUCACUGAUCUUCCCGGUAAGUUUGCUAUUCUCAACCAUGGUUGCUCUCUGACGCUGCAGUAGAUCUGAAUACGCCCCGUGCUCAGAAUUCUCUUUAGACCUUUUCAUCUGCGAGAAACAUUUAAAGGGUCAAAGGCGUCCCAUUGACAUAGAUUCUGCAGCCUCUGGAGCAGUACUUACGAGACCAAGGGAACUCAGAUGCGGAAUAAGCAGUCGCCACCAGCACCAGCACCUUCAGAACAGAAGCCUCAGAAAGCCAGGAGGAAGGAGACAGAAAUCCUGCAAGCCUGUUCGGUUGCCAGCGAAUGUCUUCUGCCCCUCAGGAGUAAUUUCAUAUUGAAAAUUAGCAGGCUUGAGGUUCUGAAGCAAGAAAUGUCUCUACAGAACAAGAGUGGGACCCCAAACUUUUAUAAAUAGAAAACAUAAGCUUUUCUUAUAAUGAUAGCCACUCUAGUCUCAUACAACAUAAUUCUGUCAGCUUAGAACACCACCACCACACAAGAACCAAAGAACGCAAGAUUCAGUUUUCAAGAGCGGAGAGUUCAGUGGAAAUUAAACAUGAUACGCGCAGUCCCAUGUUUAUGAUUAAAGAAACAGAACAGAGAGCCAAAGUCAGAAAUGGUACUUUAAAACAUGGGAAAGGAGAAGUACGCAAAACAUUGACAUUUCUAAGUCAAUGUUUAUGCAUGCGAAUGUGACAGUUACAAUGAAGGUCAUUGCUAAUGCAAAGGCAGCGCCUGUCCCUGAUGGCUUCAGGUGCCCCCAGGUCAUCGUUGUUGGUAUGUCUCAUCUGGAACCCAUCUUGUCAAGUCCCUUAAGAUACCCCACAAAUACAAAGGAACUUGUGAAAUAGGAAGGAUUUAAAAAUAUACAUAGGGAUUCAUAACCAUCUUACCAAAUACGUAUCAGGAAACCUUUCAGCAGCUGGGAGGACUGGGGAAGUAAAUAUUAAUUGAAAUACUGAAUGUUUGGACUAGUUUAUAAACAUAUUCUAGUUUUCUUACUUAAUAUUUCCAGUCAGUAUCAAUUUGAAAAGAGAGAUAACAGCUGAACUAGAAAGACAAAAUCAUUUUCUAGAUAUGCUUUGUUUUCACUGGAAUAUGUGACUUUCAAGGAUUUAACUGAUAAAAAAUCUUUUUCUUCUCCCACUUUCUUGGUCUCUGAUAAUUUGAGGCUUAAAAGCUCAGCUUUCUUCAUUAAUCUCCCCACGGUUGUUAAUAUGAGUCCACAGAAAAACAAGUCUCAUCGCAAUUGCUACGCUCAAUGGUAUAUUUCAAUUCUGUAUCAAAGUCAACCCUCAGGACACUACAGCAUUCUGCAUAUUGAAAACAUGAAGUCUUCUCAGGGCACAGAUCACACACCUGUGAUCCCAGUACUCAGGUUGAAACAGGAGGACUUGGAGUUCUGGCCCAUCAUUCUGGGUUAACCAGAGAGACACUAUCUCAAAAACAAAAACCACAAAAUUUAAUUUAAAAAAAAAAUUCUUUCUGAGAACCAGUCCCUCAUCAAAUCUUACUCAGAAGCAUAGCUUAGCUAUAGCCAUGUUAUUCUGAGCUGUUUUCUCUUAGUCAGAAUUUGUUUACCUCAGCAAAAAUAAAAUAAAAUCUAUUGCUGAGUCUCCAGUAUAUUAAUUAGAGUAAUUUUGGUGGUUUAUUAAUAAGUCUAUGUUAUCUAACUAACUAGAUUUUUUUCACUUAUGCUUAAAAUUACCCUCAAUAAUUAGGUCAGUUACUGGUUUUACAUCGUUCCAUCAAACUUAUGCAUGAAAAUCAGCUCCCUGAAAGGUCUCUCAGCUCUCUGCAGGGGGAUCAAUAACUUCUAGAGUUGGGUGUUGGUAUCAGCUACAGAAUUUCUCCACCAUAUCAAAUACACAUCUAAGUUAAUGCUCUAUAUUUCUCUAACACACGCUGUUACUUCUGAACUCUUCAGGUAUCUCUGCUUGUGUGUUGAUUAUGGAAAACUGUUCUCUCAGGGCAGUUCAUCCUGGAGAACUUCAAGACUGUUUCAGAAGCUCUAGGGGUCUAAAAACUCCAGUUAGUUACAUAUCUUUUGCUUGUUUGUCUUUUGAGACAGCGUUUCUUCUCGUAGCCCCGGCUGUCCUGGAACUCACUCUGUAGACCAGGCUGGCCUUGAACUCAGAAAUCUGCCUGCCUCUGCCUCCUGAGUGCUAGGAUUAAAGGCGUGCGCCACCACCGCCCGGCUACAAGUAAUUUCUUACUCUUCCUGUUUCGCAGCACAAUUCUAAGUUCAGGAUCAAAGCUGCAAAUAUCCUUUGUAUCAGAAAGAGGUUUACUCUUCUUAACACAUAGAAUUUUUUGGCAAAAAUGCAAAGCUUAAAGUUCCACAUUUCUUAAGCCCAUUCUUUUGCACAAAUAUCUACUAUUAAGUGUGUCUUUUUAAUACAGCUGAUUUUAAUUUAACUUUUAAACAAUGUAUGUCAAUUUAAGAUGCGUAACGGAGGUGUGUGUGCGUGGAAGUUCUCUACAGACUUCCUAUGAGCAGCAUCUGCACUUGAUAGAAACUCAGAUGUGAAGAAGCUCAAGCCGCUUCUGCCCAAAUGUUCCCGCUGACCCAGCACUGUGGAUGACACUGAUUCUACCACACUGGUGCUGAAGUAGCUGCUUUUGAGGCUUGGGGAUCAAACCCAUGACUAAAGUACACUAAGCCGAUACUCCAGUCCUCCUGAAGUAAAGCUUUAAAAAUGCUUUUCUGGGGCUGGAGAGAUGGCUCAGCGGUUAAGAGCAAUGACUGCUCUUCUGAAGGUUCUGAGGUCAAAUUCCAGCAACCACGUGGUGGCUCAUAGCCAUCCAUAAUGAGAUCCGUCGCCCUCUUCUGGUCUUCUGAAGAUAGCUACAGUGUACUUACAAUAAAUAAAUAAAUAAAUAAAUAAAUA